rnacentral:ncRNA from 1 species
GAGAGCCGUGUGCGAUGAAAGUCGCUUGCCCGGUUCGGGAAGGGGCGGGUUAGGUUUGUUAAUCCACCUAUUUCAU